rnacentral:ncRNA from 2 species
AACCCGUCACCAGCGCCAUGUGCCCGCGAAGCGUCCGCUUCGCGGGAUAACGAGGAGAGGGGAGUAUCGAAAAUUCGGCGGAUGCCCCUCCGCGUCCACGGACGUGUCAUACAGUUCUGAAAUAUGCGGGUAACCGCAAAACAGAGAGACUGUGACCGUGGGGA